rnacentral:rRNA from 1 species
UACGGAGGGGGCUAGCGUUGUUCGGAAUUACUGGGCGUAAAGCGCGCGUAGGCGGACCUGCAAGUCGGGGGUGAAAGCCCGAGGCUCAACCUCGGAACUGCCUUCGAUACUGCGGGUCUCGAGUCCGGGAGAGGGAUGCGGAAUUCCAGGUGUAGCGGUGAAAUGCGUAGAUAUCUGGAGGAACACCGGUGGCGAAGGCGGCGAUCCUGGACCGGCAUUGACGCGCUGAGGCGACGGAAAGCCAGGGGAGGCAAAACGGGG